AAUCCAUAGGUUAAUGAGGCGAACCGGGGGAACUGAAACAUCUAAGUACCCCGAGGAAAAGAAAUCAACCGAGAUUCCCCCAGUAGCGGCGAGCGAACGGGGAGGAGCCCAGAGCCUGAAUCAGCAUGUGUGUUAGUGGAAGCGUCUGGAAAGGCGCGCGAUACAGGGUGACAGCCCCGUACACAAAAGCGCAUGUGCUGUGAGCUCGAUGAGUAGGGCGGGACACGUGGUAUCCUGUCUGAAUAUGGGGGGACCAUCCUCCAAGGCUAAAUACUCCUGACUGACCGAUAGUGAACCAGUACCGUGAGGGAAAGGCGAAAAGAACCCCGGCGAGGGGAGUGAAAAAGAACCUGAAACCGUGUACGUACAAGCAGUGGGAGCCCCACCACCAAAGCAUUUGCUGUACCGCGUUGACGGAGCGAAGCGACGUCAAACCGAUAAAACAGCAGUGUAAAGUGAGCCGCAGGGCGC
rnacentral:rRNA from 3 species